rnacentral:piRNA from 1 species
UGAGUUCUUUGCAGGGGGCCUAGCCACA